UACGUAGGGUGCGAGCGUUGUCCGGAAUUAUUGGGCGUAAAGAGCUCGUAGGCGGUUUGUCGCGUCGAAUGUGAAAACCCGGGGCUCAACCCCGGGCCUGCAUUCGAUACGGGCAGACUAGAGUUCGGUAGGGGAGUCUGGAAUUCCUGGUGUAGCGGUGAAAUGCGCAGAUAUCAGGAGGAACACCGGUGGCGAAGGCGGGACUCUGGGCCGAUACUGACGCUGAGGAGCGAAAGCGUGGGGAGCGAACAGG
rnacentral:rRNA from 1 species